UGAGGAAUAUUGCGCAAUGGACGCAAGUCUGACCCAGCGACGCCGCGUUGGGGAAGAAGGUCCUCGGGUUGUAAACCCAUGUCAGGAGGAACGAUGGGUCUGUGGGCUAAUACCUCACAGGCUUGACGGCACCUCCAGAGGAAGCCCCGGCUAACUCCGUG
rnacentral:rRNA from 1 species